rnacentral:rRNA from 1 species
GAUGAACGCUGGCGGUAUGCUUAACACAUGCGAGUCGAACGGUCACUUCGGUGAUAGUGGCGGACGGGUGAGUAACGCGUGAGAAUCUGUCUUCAGGUCGGGGACAACAGUUAGAAAUGACUGCUAAUACCGGAUGUGCCUUUGGGUGAAAGAUUUAUUGCCUGAAAAAGAGCUCGCGUCAGAUUAGCUAGUAGGUGGUGUAAGAGACUACCUAGGCUCCGAUCUGUAGCUGGUCUGAGAGGACGAUCAGCCACACUGGAACUGAGACACGGUCCAGACUCCUACGGGAGGCAGCAGUGGGGGAUUUUCCGCAAUGGGCGAAAGCCUGACGGAGCAAUACCGCGUGAGGGACGAAGGCUUUUGGGUCGUAAACCUCUUUUCUCAAGGAAGAUGAUGACGGUACUUGAGGAAUAAGCAUCGGCUAACUCUGUG